rnacentral:rRNA from 1 species
AAACCAACAGGGAUUGCCCUAGUAACGGCGAGUGAAGCGGCAACAGCUCAAAUUUGAAAUCUGGCCCUAGGCCCGAGUUGUAAUUUGUAGAGGAUGUUUCUGGCGAAGUGCCUUCCGAGUUCCCUGGAACGGGACGCCAUAGAGGGUGAGAGCCCCGUACGGUUGGAUGCCUAGCCUCUGUGAAACUCCUUCGACGAGUCGAGUAGUUUGGGAAUGCUGCUCUAAAUGGGAGGUAUACGUCUUCUAAAGCUAAAUAUUGGCCAGAGACCGAUAGCGCACAAGUAGAGUGAUCGAAAGAUGAAAAGCACUUUGAAAAGAGGGUUAAAUAGUACGUGAAAUUGUUGAAAGGGAAGCGGUUAUGACCAGACUUGGACAGGUUGAUCAUCCACGGUUCUCUGUGGUGCACUCUGCCUGUCCAGGCCAGCAUCAGUUCGCUUCGGGGGAUAAAGACUUUGGGAAUGUGGCUCCCUCGGGAGUGUUAUAGCCCAUUGUGCAAUACCCUGAUCCGGACUGAGGUUCGCGCAUCUGCAAGGAUGCUGGCGUAAUGGUCAUCACCGACCCGUCUUGAAACACGGACCAAGGAGUCGUCUUCGUAUGCGAGUGUUCGGGUGUCAAACCCCUACGCGGAAUGAAAGUGAACGUAGGAGAGAGCUUCGGCGCAUCUCCGACCGAUCCUGAUGUUCUCGGAUGGAUUUGAGUAAGAGCAUACGGGGCCGGACCCGAAAGAAGGUGAACUAUGCCUGUGUAGGGUGAAGCCAGAGGAAACUCUGGUGGAGGCUCGCAGCGGUUCUGACGUGCAAAUCGAUCGUCAAACAUGGGCAUGGGGGCGAAAGACUAAUCGAACCUUCUAGUAGCUGGUUUCCGCCGAAGUUUCCCUCAGGAUAGCAGUGUUGAACUCAGUUUUAUGAGGUAAAGCGAAUGAUUAGGGACUCGGGGGCUAUAUAUUGCCUUCAUCCAUUCUCAAACUUUAAAUAUGUAAGAAGCUCUUGUUGCUUAAUUGAACGUGAGCAUUCGAAUGUAUCAACACUAGUGGGCCAUUUUUGGUAAGCAGAACUGGCGAUGCGGGAUGAACCGAACGCGAGGUUAAGGUGCCAGAGUAGUCGCUCAUCAGACACCACAAAAGGUGUUAGUACAUCUUGACAGCAGGACGGUGGCCAUGGAAGUCGGAAUCCGCUAAGGACUGUGUAACAACUCACCUGCCGAAUGUACUAGCCCUGAAAAUGGAUGGCGCUCAAGCGACUCACCCAUACCUCGCCCUCAGGGUAGAAACGAUGCCCUGAGGAGUAGGCGGACGUGGAG